rnacentral:rRNA from 1 species
UAGCAAUACGUGGCACACGGCUCAGUAACACGUAGUCAACAUAACCAAUGGACGUGGAUAAACUCGGGAAACUGAGGCUAAACCGCGAUAGACCAAGAUACCUGGAAUGGUUUUUGAUCAAAAUCUAUAUGGCCUUUGGAUUGGACUGCGACCGAUCAGGCUGUUGGUGAGGUAAUGGCCCACCAAACCUGUAACCGGUACGGGCUCUGAGAGGAGGAGCCCGGAGAUGGGUACUGAGACAAGGACCCAGGCCCUAUGGGGCGCAGCAGGCGCGAAACCUCUGCAAUAGGCGAAAGCCUGACAGGGUUAUUCUGAGUGACUUUCGCUAAGAAAGUCUUUUGACAUCUCUAAAAAUGGUGUAGAAUAAGGGGUGGGCAAGUCUGGUGUCAGCCGCCGCGGUAAUACCAGCACCCCGAGUGGUCGGGACGAUUAUUGGGCCUAAAGCAUCCGUAGCCGGUUUUACAAGUCCUCCGUUAAAUCCAACUGCUUAACAGAUGGGCCGCGGAGGAUACUAUAAGACUAGGAGGCAGGAGAGGCAAGCGGUACUCAGUGGGUAGGGGUAAAAUCCGUUGAUCCAUUGAAGACCACCAGUGGCGAAGGCGGCUUGCCAGAAUGCGCUCGACGGUGAGGGAUGAAAGCUGGGGGAGCAAACCGGAUUAGAUACCCGGGUAGUCCCAGCUGUAAAC